CCUACGGGAGGCUGCAGUGGGGAAUAUUGGGCAAUGGUCGCAAGCCUGACCCAGCAACGCCGCGUGAAGGAAGAAGGCUUUCGGGUUGUAAACUUCUUUUCUCAGGGACGAAGCAAGUGACGGUACCUGAGGAAUAAGCCACGGCUAACUACGUGCAAGCAGCCGCUGUAAUCCGGUGGUGGCAAUCGUUAUCCGGAUUUACUGGGUGUAAAGGGCGUGUAGGCGGGACUGCAAGUCAGAUGUGAAAACCACGGGCCCAACCUGUGGCCUGCAUUUGAAACUGUAGGUCUUGAGUACUGGAGAGGCAGACGGAAUGCCUAGUGUAGCGGUGAAAUGCGUAGAUAUUAGGCAGAACACCAGUGGCGAAGGCGGUCUGCUGGACAGCAACUGACGCUGAGGCGCGAAAGCGUGGGGAGCAAACAGGAUUAGAUACCCGAGUAGUC
rnacentral:rRNA from 1 species